rnacentral:rRNA from 1 species
GACGAACCGUGCGAACGUUGUUCGGAAUCACUGGGCUUAAAGGGCGCGUAGGCGGGGUCCCAAGUUCGGGGUGAAAUCUUUCGGCUUAACCGGAAAACAGCCUUGAAUACUGGGAGUCUCGAGCGAGGUAGGGGCAGCUGGAACUUCCGGUGGAGCGGUGAAAUGCGUUGAUAUCGGAAGGAACGCCGGUGGCGAAAGCGAGCUGCUGGACCUUUUCUGACGCUGAGGCGCGAAAGCCAGGGGAGCAAACGGG